rnacentral:rRNA from 1 species
UACGAAGGGGGCUAGCGUUGUUCGGAAUUACUGGGCGUAAAGCGCACGUAGGCGGACAUUUAAGUCAGGGGUGAAAUCCCAGAGCUCAACUCUGGAACUGCCUUUGAUACUGGGUGUCUUGAGUAUGGAAGAGGUAAGUGGAAUUCCGAGUGUAGAGGUGAAAUUCGUAGAUAUUCGGAGGAACACCAGUGGCGAAGGCGGCUCACUGGCCCGAUACUGACGCUGAGGUGCGAAAGCGUGGGGAGCAAACAGG